UACAGAGGUGGCAAGCGUUGUUCGGAAUUACUGGGCGUAAAGGGCGCGUAGGCGGCCUUCUAAGUCAGACGUGAAAUCCCCCGGCUUAACCUGGGAACUGCGUCUGAUACUGGAAGGCUUGAGUGCGGGAGAGGGAUGUGGAAUUCCAGGUGUAGCGGUGAAAUGCGUAGAUAUCUGGAGGAACACCGGUGGCGAAGGCGGCAUCCUGGACCGACACUGACGCUGAGGCGCGGAAAGCUAGGGGAGCGAAGUGGG
rnacentral:rRNA from 1 species